GAUGAACGCUGGCGGCGUGCCUAAUACAUGCAAGUCGAGCGAACGGACGAGAAGCUUGCUUCUCUGAUGUUAGCGGCGGACGGGUGAGUAACACGUGGAUAACCUACCUAUAAGACUGGGAUAACUUCGGGAAACCGUAGCUAAUACCGGAUAAUAUUUUGAACCGCAUGGUUCAAAAGUGAAAGACGGUCUUGCUGUCACUUAUAGAUGGAUCCGCGCUGCAUUAGCUAGUUGGUAAGGUAACGGCUUACCAAGGCAACGAUGCAUAGCCGACCUGAGAGGAUGAUCGGCCACACUGGAACUGAGACACGGUCCAGACUCCUACGGGAGGCAGCAGUAGGGAAUCUUGCGCAAUGGGCGAAAGCCUGACGGAGCAACGCCGCGUGAGUGGUGAAGGUCUUCGGAUCGUAAAACUCUGUUAUUAGGGAAGAACAUAUGUGUAAGUAACUGUGCACAUCUUGACGGUACCUAAUCAGAAAGCCACGGCUAACUACGUG
rnacentral:rRNA from 1 species